rnacentral:rRNA from 1 species
GAUGAACGCUGGCGGCGUGCCUAAUACAUGCAAGUCGAGCGAACAGACGAGGAGCUUGCUCCUCUGACGUUAGCGGCGGACGGGUGAGUAACACGUGGAUAACCUACCUAUAAGACUGGGAUAACUUCGGGAAACCGGAGCUAAUACCGGAUAAUAUAUUGAACCGCAUGGUUCAAUAGUGAAAGACGGUUUUGCUGUCACUUAUAGAUGGAUCCGCGCUGCAUUAGCUAGUUGGUAAGGUAACGGCUUACCAAGGCAACGAUGCGUAGCCGACCUGAGAGGGUGAUAGGCCACACUGGAACUGAGACACGGUCCAGACUCCUACGGGAGGCAGCAGUAGGGAAUCUUCCGCAAUGGGCGAAAGCCUGACGGAGCAACGCCGCGUGAGUGAUGAAGGUCUUCGGAUCGUAAAACUCUGUUAUUAGGGAAGAACAGAUGUGUAAGUAACUAUGCACAUCUUGACGGUACCUAAUCAGAAAGCCACGGCUAACUACGUG